AGAGCGCCUCGACCUAGAGCCGCGGGUCCCUGUCACAGCAGCGGCCUAAACGAAGGUGCUGACCGCAGGUGGAUCUCGUGCCUUGGGAGGGCUGGGCAGUGCCCCUCAGUGAGUUUAGAGGUUCCACACCC
rnacentral:snoRNA from 1 species